rnacentral:rRNA from 1 species
CAGUAGCCACGGGAAUACGUGGGGUGCAAGCGUUAAUCGGAAUUACUGGGCGUAAAGCGUGCGCAGGCGGUGUUGUAAGACUGAUGUGAAAUCCCCGGGCUCAACCUGGGAACUGCAUUGGUGACUGCAGCGCUGGAGUGCGGCAGAGGGGGAUGGAAUUCCGCGUGUAGCAGUGAAAUGCGUAGAUAUGCGGAGGAACACCGAUGGCGGAGGCAAUCCCCUGGGCCUGCACUGACGCUCAUGCACGAAAGCGUGGGGAGCAAACAGGAUUAGAUACCCGCGUAGUCCCUGUCUCUUAUAC